rnacentral:rRNA from 1 species
CCUACGGGAGGCAGCAGUGAGGAAUAUUGGUCAAUGGGCGCGAGCCUGAACCAGCAAAGUAGCGUGAAGGAUGACUGCCCUACGGGUUGUAAACUUCUUUUAUAAAGGAAUAAAGUGAGGCACGUGUGCCUUUUUGUAUGUACUUUAUGAAUAAGGAUCGGCUAACUCCGUGCCAGCAGCCGCGGUAAUACGGAGGAUCCGAGCGUUAUCCGGAUUUGUUGGGUGUAAAGGGAGCGUAGAUGGGUUGUUAAGUCAGUUGUGAAAGUUUGCGGCUCAACCGUAAAAUUGCAAUUGAUACUGGCAGCCUUGAGUACAGUUGAGGUAGGCGGAAUUCGUGGUGUAGCGGUGAAAUGCUUAGAUAUCACGAAGAACUCCGAUUGCGAAGGCAGAUUACUAAACUGCCACUGACAUUGAUGCGCGAAAGUGUGGGUAUCAAACAGGAUUAGAUACCCGAGUAGUC